rnacentral:rRNA from 1 species
AACGGCGAGUGAAGCGGCAACAGCUCAAAUUUGAAAUCUGGCUCUUUCAGAGUCCGAGUUGUAAUUUGCAGAGGGUGCUUUGGUGUUGACUGUGGUCUAAGUUCCUUGGAACAGGACGUCGCAGAGGGUGAGAAUCCCGUAUGUGGCCGCCAGUCUUCACCGUGUAAAGCCCCUUCGACGAGUCGAGUUGUUUGGGAAUGCAGCUCUAAAUGGGAGGUAAAUUUCUUCUAAAGCUAAAUACUGGCCAGAGACCGAUAGCGCACAAGUAGAGUGAUCGAAAGAUGAAAAGCACUUUGGAAAGAGAGUCAAAAAGCACGUGAAAUUGUUGAAAGGGAAGCGCUUGCAGCCAGACUUGCCUGUAGUUGCUCAUCCGGACUUUUGUCCGGUGCACUCUUCUACGGGCAGGCCAGCAUCAGUUGGGGCGGUUGGAUAAAUGCCUGCUGAAUGUACCUCUCUUCGGGGAGGACUUAUAGCAGUGGGCGGCAUACAACCAGCCCCGACUGAGGUCCGCGCAUCUGCUAGGAUGCUGGCGUAAUGGCUGUAAGCGGCCCGUCUUGAAACACGGACCAAGGAGUCUAACAUCUAUGCGAGUGUUUGGGUGUCAAGCCCGAGCGCGUAAUGAAAGUGAACGGAGGUGGGAACCCCUCGGGGUGCACCAUCGACCGAUCCUGAUGUCUUCGGAUGGAUUUGAGUAAGAGCAUAGCUGUUGGGACCCGAAAGAUGGUGAACUAUGCCUGAAUAGGGUGAAGCCAGAGGAAACUCUGGUGGAGGCUCGCAGCGGUUCUGACGUGCAAAUCGAUCGUCAAA